rnacentral:rRNA from 1 species
AGUGAACGCUGGCGGCGUGCCUAAUACAUGCAAGUCGAACGGCGUGGCGCUCGGGUGAGUAAUGUAUAGCUAAAAUGCCAUACACUAGCGGACAUCAGUUGGUAAUGGAUGCUCAUACUCUAUAGUGUGGGUUGAGGCUAUAUUGGAUCAGCUAGUUGGUGAGGUAAUGGCUCACCAAGGCUAUGACGCAUAACUGGUAUGGGAUGAUGAUCAGUCACACUGGAACUGAGACACGGUCCAGACUCCUAGGGGAGGCAGCAGUAGGGAAUAUUGCUCAAUGGGGGAAACCCUGAAGCAGCAACGCCGCGUGGAGGAUGACACUUUUCGGAGCGUAAACUCCUUUUGUUAGGGAAGCGGUACCUAACGAAUAAGCACCGGCUAACUCCGUGCCAGCAGCCGCGGUAAUAC